GAUUUUGGUGUGGAUUGGUAUUCGCUCGGUGUUCUUCUUUAUGAAUUUCUAGUGGGCCCUAUAAUUUUUCGAGGGUCUGAUAAAGCGACGUACUACUACUAUCAAGAAAGGUUUUCCGGUCCAUGGCGUGUGUCAGUCGAAGCUAAUUCUAUUAUGAGUGGACUUCUCAAUAUAGAUCCCAUGGAAAGAUUAGGAAGUAAUCCGAAAACUGGUUUUAGCGAGAUAAUCUCCCAUUCCUUUUUCGCUUCAAUUCAUUGGGAUAUGCUCCUAAACCAGCAAUUGUACCCACCCUUCAAACCGAAAAAAAAAAUAAAAUAUGGAUUUUUGACCUAUUUCUUCGAUUCUUUGCUCUAUUUAGCGUAUGUAAAAGAGUUAAU